UGACCUGACAGACGCAGCUGUCCUUGGCCUCGCAAAAAGCCAAAAUUAGAAAUGGCACUUAGUAACGCGAAGAAAGAGAUUGGAGGAGGUACAUACAGAAAGGGAAGAAGUGGGAAGUGCCGGAGGUCUGCUGUACAGUUGUCUCGAACGGAAAUGGGAUAAUGUAAUUGUCCCUCCUAUCAGCGGGGGAUUACUCAGUUCUCUACAAAUACACCGAGGGAUAAAGAAAUUUUAAUUAAAUGUAGCUGUUCGAUAUCGGAAUGCUAAUAAAGGGAAACAAUAUGAAAAUGGAUAAAGAAGCUGAGAUCAUAUCCACCGAAGAUAAAAAAGUACAUAUGUGUGGCGGACGUGUUGUUCAAUUCGACACAAUGGAAAUCAUGCGUAACGCGAGUCUUGUCCCGUCAUUAUCAGCGGCAACCGAAUAAAUUGUACGUGAUUCAAAGCCGAUCGCGUGACACCAAACAUUUUCAUUCACUGGAAUAUGUUUAAUCAGCUAUUACAUUCGUGAACAAUCAACGUACCCGUAAUCGUAAUUUAAAAUUAAUUUCAACAAU